GCAGUGUGUACCCCAGGAAGCAGAGACCGCCUGUCUCGCAUCCCAGCCGCAGGACAAAAUAUUGAAAGGGGAGACAGUUGGUCCCCCUCUCCACCAGCAAAGAGAGUGUCAGGGAGAGGAGCAGGUUACCCCCUCUCCCCGGCGGCAGUCUACAGUUCAGAGAGAGGAGCUUGUUACACCCUCUCUCCAGCGGCAGCCUAACCCACCAAGGGGAGAUGUUAAGCCCCACAACUAUGCAGAUGGGACUGUAGUCUCUGCACUUGCAGCACCAGGGGUAGGGACGGUCGGUCCU
rnacentral:lncRNA from 1 species